rnacentral:rRNA from 1 species
AGUGAACGCUGGCGGUAGGCCUAACACAUGCAAGUCGAACGGCAGCACAGUAAGAGCUUGCUCUUACGGGUGGCGAGUGGCGGACGGGUGAGGAAUACAUCGGAAUCUACUUUUUCGUGGGGGAUAACGUAGGGAAACUUACGCUAAUACCGCAUACGACCUACGGGUGAAAGCAGGGGAUCUUCGGACCUUGCGUGAUUGAUUUAGCCGAUGUCGGAUUAGCUAGUUGGCGGGGUAAAGGCCCACCAAGGCGACGAUCCGUAGCUGGUCUGAGAGGAUGAUCAGCCACACUGGAACUGAGACACGGUCCAGACUCCUACGGGAGGCAGCAGUGGGGAAUAUUGGACAAUGGGCGCAAGCCUGAUCCAGCCAUACCGCGUGGGUGAAGAAGGCCUUCGGGUUGUAAAGCCCUGUUGUUGGGAAAGAAAAGCAGCAGGUUAAUACCCCGCUGUUCUGACGGUACCCAAAGAAUAAGCACCGGCUAACUUCGUG